rnacentral:tRNA from 1 species
GCUGGAGUAGCUCAGCUGGUAGAGCAGCUGUUUCGUAAACAGCAGGUCGUCGGUUCAAAUCCGACCUCCAGCUCCA